rnacentral:rRNA from 1 species
UACGGAGGGCGCAAGCGUUGUUCGGAAUCAUUGGGCGUAAAGCGCGUGUAGGCGGUCUGGUCAGUCGGGUGAGAAAUACCGGAGCUCAACUCCGGAACUGCGUUCGAUACUGCCAGGCUAGAGUCCCGGAGAGGGUGGUGGAAUUCCCGGUGUAGAGGUGAAAUUCGUAGAUAUCGGGAGGAACACCAGCGGCGAAGGCGGCCCCCUGGACGGUGACUGACGCUGAGACGCGAAAGCGUGGGGAGCAAACAGG